GGCUGGUCCGGAGGUAGCGGGUUAUCUGAAUUUCAGUCAGUUCCAGAUGGAGCUCCUUGCCCUACUGUUUCCCCUCUUCUCAUGACUGCAUUUGGCUAACCUUAA
rnacentral:Y_RNA from 1 species